UGUCAUUUGACAGACUUAAACUCAGCCAGCCUCGGAGUCUGUGUCCCUGGGCCAAACUAUGAAACUCUCCUGCUCUAGAAGUAGUGGUAGCUGGGAAAGCUUUGGCUGGUAUCAACAGAAACCUGGACAGGCUCCUCGCUUUGUCAUCUAUGGUACCAGCACCCGGGGAGAAGGGAUCCCAGAUCGGUUCACUGGCUCUUCCUCUGGGAACACUUACUAUUUAACCAUCUCCAACACCCAGGCUGAAGAUGAGGCAGUUUAUUACUGUCUUGCUUGGGAAGGCAACAGUAAAACGUU